UACGAAGGGGGCUAGCGUUGCUCGGAAUCACUGGGCGUAAAGGGCGCGUAGGCGGGCUCUUAAGUCAGGGGUGAAAGCCCAAGGCUCAACCUUGGAAUUGCCUUUGAUACUGAGGCCUUGAGACCGGAAGAGGUCGGCGGAACUGCGAGUGUAGAGGUGAAAUUCGUAGAUAUUCGCAAGAACACCAGUGGCGAAGGCGGCCGACUG
rnacentral:rRNA from 1 species